CUAUUGCUUAAAGGCAACAGUAUUUAAGCGCGCCGGAUAACCCAAACAUAAUAGGGAAUCGGGGAGCUGCCCGUCAGUAGCCCGAACUGUACCCGCAACUGUGAGUAGUCGAAGCGCUUUGCUUCUUACCUACGAGUCAGGAUACCUGCCUAUUUCUGUUUUCGCUGC
rnacentral:ncRNA from 1 species